GACGAACGCUGGCGGCGUGCUUAACACAUGCAAGUCGUACGGUAAGGCCCUUUCGGGGGUACACAAGUGGCGAACGGGUGAGUAACACGUGAGUAACCUGCCCACAACUUUGGGAUAACGCUAGGAAACUGGUGCUAAUACUGGAUAUGUGCCCCUGCUGCAUGGUGGGGGUUGGAAAGCUCCGGCGGUUGUGGAUGGACUCGCGGCCUAUCAGCUUGUUGGUGGGGUAGUGGCCUACCAAGGCGGCGACGGGUAGCCGGCCUGAGAGGGUGACCGGCCACAUUGGGACUGAGAUACGGCCCAGACUCCUACGGGAGGAAGAAGUGGGGAAUAUUGAACAAUGGGCGCAAGCCUGAUGCAGCAACGCCGCGUGCGGGAUGACGGCCUUAGGGUUGUAAACCGCUUUCAGCAGGGACGAAGCUUUUUGUGACGGUACCUGCAGAAGAAGCACCGGCUAACUACGUG
rnacentral:rRNA from 1 species